GACCGACCCUUCGGGGAGCUUGCACAGGUGCUGCAUGGCUGUCGUCAGCUCGUGUCGUGAGAUGUUCGGUUAAGUCCGCUAACGAGCGCAACCCUCGCUGUGUGUUAUAUGUGUCACACGGGACUGCCGGUCUUAAGCCGGAGGAAGGUGGGAUGAUGGUCAAGUCAGCAUGGCCUUUAUAUCCCUGGGCUACACACACGCUACAAUGGCCAACACAAUAGGUUGCUAAGCCGCGAGGUGGCGCCAAUCCAUAAAGUUGGUCUCAGUUCAGAUUGUAGGCUGCAACCCGCCUGCAUGAAGAUGGAGUUGCUAGUAACCGCAGGUCAGCUAUACUGCGGUGAAUACGUUCCCGGGGCUU
rnacentral:rRNA from 1 species